UACGUAGGGUGCAAGCGUUAAUCGGAAUUACUGGGCGUAAAGCGUGCGCAGGCGGUGAUGUAAGACAGAUGUGAAAUCCCCGGGCUCAACCUGGGAACUGCAUUUGUGACUGCAUCGCUGGAGUGCGGCAGAGGGGAUGGAAUUCCGCGUGUAGCAGUGAAAUGCGUAGAUAUCUGGAGGAACACCGGUGGCGAAGGCGGCAUCCUGGACCGAGAUUGACACUGAUGAGCGAAAGCUAGGGGAGCAAACGGG
rnacentral:rRNA from 1 species